CUCCAUCUCCAUCUCCAGCGCAUCUCCAUGCUAUCGCGCGCCGCCGGCCCCCGACACGCCGCCGCGCACCGCCAACGCCCCUCCGCCGUGCGCCUUCCCCACCCCUGCGGCUUUCCACCACCAGCGACACUUGAUGCCGGCGCCGCACCUUCCCCCAAUCCCUCUCUCUCGCCACGACCCGACGCCGUCGUCCUCCACCACCAGCCCAGCCCCGGCGUGUUCCUUUUCCAGUGACGCUACUCACCUUCCCUCCUCUCUUGGCCGAUGUCCAGUGCUCCGGCGACGGCAAAGACAGUUCCAAACCGCCUGCCUCGCCUCUCAAUCACAGGUGAGCCGACGGGAGCUGGUUCCUUUCCUCCCCGACGCUCUUCUUCACCUGGCCGGAGCACCUGCUCCUCCCAUCACGCACAGAUCGACGGAGCAGUUCGAUGGUCGUUGCCCAGGCUGCGUGCAGUUCAGUGCUGCUCUGCCCCCAUUGACUUCAACCACCAACCCGCGAGGUGCACGCCAUGUGUUUGCUAAAAAGACUCAGAGAAGAGAUGGCUAUUGAUGAAGCCGAGCUUGAGCCUCUAGAAUUUGCCGAGAAAAUGCACACUCAACGGGAAUUACAACAACAGAAACUGGAGAUGUUAGUUCAAAUUAGAAAACACAAUUCCGAGAGCCAAUCUGUCAUACUUGAGACUUUGCAGAGGCAGUUGGAGAGUGCUGAUUUCGAUACCAGUGCAUCAAUAUUCACUCCGGAGCAGAUCCAAGGGAUUGUUGAGAAAUACUCCAGUUCACAUAUUUCAAGAGAUGUGCAGAUGGGGGACAUGAAAGGAACGAAGGAAAGGGAACGGAACGAGCGAAGAAAGGCUGGGCUGGCUCCAAUGGAGCUAGGACGGCGUGGAGUCAGCAGACGGGGGAGCGCAGGCGCUAGGCAGCGAUCACGGGGCUCCACGUCUACCGUCGGGGCGGCAUGCUCGAUCUGCAGAGGACAUGACGAUGACAGGGGUAUGUAUCCCCUUGAAAGAAAAUCAGUUCAUAGAGCCUCUGUUUGGGUUUAUUGUUUCUGAAUUGUUGUCCCUGUUUCAUGUUCACUAGAGAAACAAAAAGGUUACAAAUUCAUCUAAUUUCAAUGAUCAUGAAGAGGGGAACAAGUGAUAUGUAUUCAAAUUUGUGGUCUUUCGUCUGCCCAUGAUCUUUCUGUAGUACAAACAUUCUUUUUCAUAUGCCUGCAACAUUUGCGUUGAAUUUAUAUGAUGUUGCUCCUUAAUUAUUUACACUGAUUGAUGUACAGCAAUAUGAGUGCUGCCCUCUAGAGGAGCAUCAAGCUCUAACACUAUGCGCUUGCUCAAGUAGAUCGAGAGCAUCAACACCCGAAGGAGAUAUGGAGGGAGAGAAAUAAGUCUGACAUGAAUAAGGCCGGUCGGUUUUGCAAGAUUGAAAAUGGUGUAUCAUGGCGCAACAAUCAUGAUAUCGAUCAAAUGGACGAAUCACAUCACAAGAGAUACAAGACCUGUUCCUGAUUUACGAAAGACAAAACUUGACACUGGAGCAGUGAGCAAUACCAACGCUUCGGCUGCCAACACUCUCAUGGAGCUUUCUUGGACGUCAUCAAUUUCUUCAGCUAGGAGACCGAUGAGUUUCCGGAUGAUUAGGUGUGACCUUUCUAUCUCCUUUCUCGCAGUGUCAUUUGAAGCUAGGCAUGCAAGGAUGUCUGCUGCUUGAGCAAGCAUCUGUGGUUCACUUUCAGGAUGAUCUAUGAAGAACUUGCCAAUAUUCCUUAUGGUGUACAUAUUACUAGACACUUGGCACCUGAGCUCCUCGCCGGUCUCACCAGCUGUGCUCACAAGCUUGCGCAAGACUUCUAGUUCUUGGCAUUCUUCACCUCCGCACAGUUUUCUGGAUUAGUCAGGAGGUUGUCGAGAAUAUCCACACCAAGCAAUUUGAGCUCUUUGCUUGCACAGGUUGAAUUGCUGGAACUUCCACUGGUCUUGGUCCUGCGUGCGCUAAGCAGUGAAGAAAUAGAUUGAAAAAUACCAGGAAAGUUCUCGACUUGAAGGCCAGGUGCGAGCUCCAGCAGUAUGCGCGCAGCAUGCCCUCUGGUGUCUUGUUCCACCUCUCUGUCCAAGCCCAUCAUGUAUACUGCUUUCUCGACGGUAUCAAGAGAAGAUCGAAUCUUGACGCAAUGAAGACAUAACAAUGCAAGCAAUGAGUGCGGCUAGCUGCACUUGUCCAAGGACACUUGAGAAGAGGACUGCAAAGCAAGAUCUACCAGAUAUGAAGACACCUUUUAACUCGUGCAAUGCCAGAAGCUUGUCACUUAAGGACUCUGCAGGGCUUGCAUGCCUCCGCCAACUUCCACGCCCGAGGACCGCAAUUUUUUCCGCUUUUAUCAUUGUUUCAGGUAGGCGAAGGAAGAACUGGUCCUCGGCUUUCACAUUGUUAAAAAGCCUGCCAAUUGAAAAACAAAUUAUAUAUGCAAAAUAAAGCCGGGAU